UUUCUUCAACGUCAUCUCAUUUU
rnacentral:sRNA from 1 species